rnacentral:rRNA from 1 species
UACAGAGGUCCCGAGCGUUGUUCGGAUUCACUGGGCGUAAAGGGUGCGUAGGUGGCAUGGUAAGUUUGAUGUGAAAGCUCAGGGCUCAACCCUGAAAUGGCAUUAAAUACUACUGUGCUGGAGGUUUGGAGGGGGGACUGGAAUUCUUGGUGUAGCAGUGAAAUGCGUAGAUAUCAAGAGGAACACCAGUGGCGAAGGCGAGUCCCUGGACAACACCUGACACUGAGGCACGAAAGCUAGGGGAGCAAACAGG